AAAUCGUAGGUGAACCUGCGGAAGGAUCAUUAACACGUAUCCAACGUUAAACCCCUGUGAACCAUCAUUGUGCUCCCCCAUUCCGUUAGGCAAUCCCUGGUAAAUCAUCGCCGAACAGUUUUGAUUCAGGGACCUCUGCAUGGAGUGGGCAGCGGCCUGGCAUUCGAAAGAAUGGCGCAGUAACGAUCGCUAGAGGCCCACACGGCCGGCGACGCUCACGCCUAUCACCUUAACGGGUCUUGUGGCCACCAAACUCGAACAACUAUUGAUAUCUUGGUUCUC
rnacentral:misc_RNA from 1 species